AACGAACGCUGGCGGCAUGCCUAACACAUGCAAGUCGAACGAGACCUCCGGGGCUAGUGGCGCACGGGUGCGUAACGCGUGGGAACCUGCACUUAGGUUCGGAAUAACUCCCCGAAAGGGGUGCUAAUACCUACUCAUGUCUUCGGACCAAAGAUUUAUCGACUUUGGAUGGGCCCGCGUUGUAUUAGCUAGUUGGUAGGGUAAAAGCCUACCAAGGCGACGAUCGAUAGCUGGUCUGAGAGGAUGAGCAGACACACUGGGAGUGAGACACGGCCCAGAAUCCUAGGGGAGGCAGCAGAGGGGAAUAUUGGAAAAUGGGGGGAAGCAUGAACCAGCAAGGCCGGGUGAGUGAUGAAGGCCGGAGGGUUGUAAAGCUCUUUUACACGGGAUGAUAAUGACAGUACCGGGAGAAUAAGCACCGGCUAACUACGUG
rnacentral:rRNA from 1 species